GCAGAACUGCAAUGCCAGCUCCGUGUGGUGCAAGAACUGUCGAACAGAUACUCACAACGAAGCUGCCUGUCGUCGACCUGGAUCGGGAAACUCAGCGGGAAAAGCCGCCCCACGCUGACACAAAAAGCGGCUGCCUAUCCAGCAGCGUUCAACACCCCCCCAUCAGCGCACAACCCCUUCCUCUCCGGCCAGCCACAAGCGGAAGCCUCGGACUGGACCUGGCAACAGCAGUAGAUUGCACCCUAUUGGACUCGAAACCUGUCAGAAUUGCUACCGGCACACAGGGACCAAUCCGUAUUAAUGGACAAGCGGUCGGAGCACUACUUGUAGGGCGUUCAUCUGCCACUAUGCUGGGACUUAAUGUUUUAGUGGGACUGAUUGAUAAGGACUUUUACGGAGAGAUUCAAAUUAUGGCUCAGACGCUGUUUCCACCACUUUUCGUAGCUAAAGGCACUAAGGUGGCACAGUUGAUUCCCCUGCCACAGUUUGCGGGGGCCCUUCAACCGCUGCAAGAGCAACCUCGAGGGCAAGGUGGUUUUGGAUCUACAGGACAAAUGGCCUUGCUAACUAUCGUCCUGCGUCAACGACCACGACGAUUGGUUAUCGUGCAGUACAGCGGCCAAACCAUCUCACUUGUCGCACUUUUGGAUACUGGUGCCGAUGUUUCUAUAAUCAGUACACGGAAAUGGCCGGUUCAAUGGCCAACAUACCCGACCAAUGCCACAGUUGCGGGAGUAGGAGGGUUGACCCUUGCUCACAAGUCACCCCUUUUGCGAUGGACUAUAGAUGACAAGGUGGUAAACUGCUGUGUUUCUAUUAUCCCAUUGCCUGAAGGGGUGCACGCUCUGGUAGGGCGUGAUAUCCUGGCGCAAAUGGGAAUGGUCCUUACCUCGGACCCCCCUUUUUAGGGACGGCCAUUGCUUGGACUUUCCCGAUCCCGCUCCGAUGGAAAUUGGAAGAACCAGUGUGGAUAGAGCAGUGGCCGCUAAAAAGGGAAAGUCUGGAACAAGCACACGAACUGGUCCGAGAACAAUUCCGCCAGGGUCACCUGCGUCUAUCAACAAGCCCCUGGAAUACCCCCAUCUUUGUUAUCAAGAAGAAGUCAGGAAAAUAUCAAUUGCUUCA
rnacentral:lncRNA from 1 species